AUUGAACGCUGGCGGCAGGCCUAACACAUGCAAGUCGAGCGGAUGAAGGGAGCUUGCUCCUGGAUUCAGCGGCGGACGGGUGAGUAAUGCCUAGGAAUCUGCCUGGUAGUGGGGGAUAACGUCCGGAAACGGGCGCUAAUACCGCAUACGUCCUGAGGGAGAAAGUGGGGGAUCUUCGGACCUCACGCUAUCAGAUGAGCCUAGGUCGGAUUAGCUAGUUGGUGGGGUAAAGGCCUACCAAGGCGACGAUCCGUAACUGGUCUGAGAGGAUGAUCAGUCAAACUGAAACGGAGAGCGGGGCCAGCCCCCAACGGGAGGCAGCAGUGGGGAUAAUUGGAAAAGGGGUGAAAGCCUGAACCAGCCGUGCCGCGUGGGGGAAAAAGGCUUUCUGAUUGUAAAGCACUUUAAGUUGGUAGGAAGGACAAUAAGUUAAUACCUUCCUGUUUGGACGUUACCAACAAAAAAGGCACCGGCCAAUUUCGG
rnacentral:rRNA from 1 species